GAUGAACGCUGGCGGCGUGCCUAAUACAUGCAAGUCGGGCGAACAGACGAGGAGCUUGCUCCUUUGACGUUAGCGGCGGACGGGUGAGUAACACGUGGGUAACCUACCUAUAAGACUGGGAUAACUUCGGGAAACCGGAGCUAAUACCGGAUAAUAUUUCGAACCGCAUGGUUCGAUAGUGAAAGAUGGCUUUGCUAUCACUUAUAGAUGGACCUGCGCCGUAUUAGCUAGUUGGUAAGGUAACGGCUUACCAAGGCGACGAUACGUAGCCGACCUGAGAGGGUGAUCGGCCACACUGGAACUGAGACACGGUCCAGACUCCUACGGGAGGCAGCAGUAGGGAAUCUUCCGCAAUGGGCGAAAGCCUGACGGAGCAACGCCGCGUGAGUGAUGAAGGUCUUCGGAUCGUAAAACUCUGGUAUUAGGGAAGAACAAAUGUGUAAGUAACUGUGCACAUCUUGACGGUACCUAAUCAGAAAGCCACCGCUUACUACGUGCCAGCAGCCGCGGUAAUACGUAAGUGGCAAGCGUUAUCCGGAAUUGUUGGGCGUAAGCGCGCGUAGGUGGUUUUUUAGUCUGAUGUGAAAGCCCACGGCGUUACCGCUGGAGGGUCAUUGGAAACUGGAAAACUUGAGUGCAUAAGAGGAAAGUGGAAUUCCAUGUGUAGCGGUGAAAUGCGCAGAGAUAUGGAGGAACACCAGUGGCGAAGGCGACUUUCUGGUCUGUAACUGACGCUGAUGUGCGAAAGCGUGGGGAUCAAACAGGAUUAGAUACCCUGGUAGUCCACGCCGUAAACGAUGAGUGCUAAGUGUUAGGGGGUUUCCGCCCCUUAGUGCUGCAGCUAACGCAUUAAGCACUCCGCCUGGGGAGUACGACCGCAAGGUUGAAACUCAAAGGAAUUGACGGGGACCCGCACAAGCGGUGGAGCAUGUGGUUUAAUUCGAAGCAACGCGAAGAACCUUACCAAAUCUUGACAUCCUUUGACCCUUCUAGAGAUAGAAGUUUCCCCUUCGGGGGACAAAGUGACAGGUGGUGCAUGGUUGUCGUCAGCUCGUGUCGUGAGAUGUUGGGUUAAGUCCCGCAACGAGCGCAACCCUUAAGCUUAGUUGCCAUCAUUAAGUUGGGCACUCUAAGUUGACUGCCGGUGACAAACCGGAGGAAGGUGGGGAUGACGUCAAAUCAUCAUGCCCCUUAUGAUUUGGGCUACACACGUGCUACAAUGGACAAUACAAAGGGCAGCGAAACCGCGAGGUCAAGCAAAUCCCAUAAAGUUGUUCUCAGUUCGGAUUGUAGUCUGCAACUCGACUACAUGAAGCUGGAAUCGCUAGUAAUCGUAGAUCAGCAUGCUACGGUGAAUACGUUCCCGGGUCU
rnacentral:rRNA from 1 species